rnacentral:lncRNA from 1 species
AUGGUGGCUGCAGCCCCCGGAGCCCCCUGGGGCCCGCUACCGUCCCCCACGGCCCACCGCGGGGCGGCCUGGCGAGGCAUCUGCGCUUCGGCCGUGCGGGGAGCUCGCUUUAUACCCGAGGCUUCAAUUGGCGGGAGACUCCACCUCCGGCCCGGGCCCGCCCCCUUGCAACUUGAGCCCGGAGGGAUCGCCCGGCGGCGCGGCCAAUGCCUUAGAAAUCGGGGCCGGGGGCGGGGCGGCCGGGCCGGGGGCCGGCGGGGCGGGGGCGGGGCGGGGCGGGGCGGGCCGCGGAGCCGGCGCUCGGGGGCGGGGGGCGCGGGGCGCGGGGCGCGGGGCGCCGCUGCCGCCCAGGACGGCGAGCCGCACCGGGCACCCGGGCGUCCGCCGGGGAGAUCCCGCGGCUCCCGCCCGCGCGAGCGCAGCGCGCGGCCUCGCUCCUGGCCGCCCGCCGCCGGCCCGCGCCCCCCUCGCCGCGCACCUGAGCCGAGCUCCCCGGCGGCCGCCGCGCCGCGCCGGAGCUCCGGUUCGCUUCCCGCGCGCCGCCGCCAACGCCGCCCCCGCCGCUGCUGCUCGUGCGGGGCCGCUGCCCAGGUGCCGCGGGAGCCCGGGGCCGCGGCCGCCGCGUCGCCGGCCCCGACCCCCGCCCCGCCGGGGCCGCGGGCCCGCCAGGAGGCAACUUUGGGCCCCCGCCGCCUCCCCCGUUCGCCCGCGGGCGCCGCUCGCCUCCCGGAGCCCGCCCGCCUCCCGCGCGCGCUCACACUCGCGCCUCGCACACGGCCGCCCCCCGCAGCGCCCCGCCACGCGCACCGCGCCCCGCGCCCCCGCCGCUGCCCGCGCCCGCCGCGCGCCGGCCCGGCCGCGCCCGCCCCGUCCCAUCGCGUCCCCGCUCGGCGCGGCCGUCCUCGGGUCAGCGGCCUCCGGGGCGCGGCGGGGAGGCGCGGAGGGCAGGGCCCGCGGGCCGGGGAGCGCCGGGCGCCGGGGCCGGGGAGCGCCGGGGGAGCCGCGCCGUGCCUGCGCCCCAGGCCGCCCGCGAGCGCUUCGGGCGCGGGGCGGCGGGCGCGGGGCGCGGGGCGCGGGGCGGCGGGCGCGGGGCGGCGGCGGCCCCGGCCCCGGCGGCUCUCCCACUAG